UAGCUGAAACCCUAACACGUACUUCGAGCAAAAAACAUAACAAAAUAGCAAAACCCUCUCUCGACAGCUAGCGCCUCCCUCUAUCUUGACUCGUCUCACCGUCGAUUGACAGACCCAAAAACAAAGCCCUCCUCUUGGGCGCCUCACUGUCGACAGACCCAGACCAAAACUAGAAUCCUCACCCUCUACCCAAAACCUCACUCUCCCAAACCCUCAUUCUUCUCUCUAUCUCGACAGACCCAAACCAAAAUGAAAAUCCUCACUCUCUAGCCAAAACCUCACUCUCUGAAACCCUCAUUCUUCUCUCUAACCAAUCUCAUCUCUCUGCGAAUAAGACUGAGCCGGUGAACUGAGAUUGAGCCAGCUUAGCCUCUCCAGAUCGAGCCGAUUCCCUUAGAGCGAAGCACUGUUGGCCGGCCAGUUUAGCCUCUCGGACUGGUUCCUGUCGCAUCCAGCCUCAGGAUGUUGAUAUUGAUGAGGAGGUUGAUGUUAUAAUUUCAGAGUGGAUGGGAUACAUGCUUCUGUAUGAGAGGUUGGAAGUGUCAUUACAGCGAGAGAUCGCUAGCUAAAACCUGGAGGUGUUAUACUUCCUUCAAAUGCAAUGUUGUACAUAGCACCUAUCACACAUGUUGAUAGAUAAAGUGAAAGCAUUGAUUUCUGGCAGAAUGUUUAUGGAAUUGAUAGUUUCAUAGCUAUGCAUGCCACACUUGCCAGUCGCAAUGUGGACUGUUGUUUGAUUCCAGAUUCCCCCUUAUUUCUUGAAGGACGAGGUGGACCUUUUGAGUUCAUUGAAGAACGACUCAGAAAAUGGACAUAUGGUUAUUGUGAUUGCUGAGGGAGCAGGACAGGAUCUUCUUUCAGAGAGCUUGUAAUCCAUGAACCAGCAAGAUGCUUCAGGAAACAAGCUACUAAAAGACGUUGGGUUAUGGAUAUCUCAGAGGAUCAAGGUGUUACUCGCAAUCUGUAGAAUUAGUGCUUGGGAGCUUCCAAAGCUAGACUCCAAUGAGGCCAUGAGAGCAGCAAAGCUAGACUCCCUAAGUAAAUUUCUGGAUGUAUAUUGCUAGGAGAGUAGUAUUAGAUGUACUCCUUUUGUAGAUGAAAGAUUACCUUUGCACAAUUUAUUUUGGUGCAUGAUGUGGAUUAUAACAAUUUCUUCUAUAUAUUGAUCAGCUACUGUUAAUUGGAUCA